UUUAGGAAAACAUAAAAUUGGAGAUGAAGAAUGGUGAUAUAGUAUGUGAAAGACUACGAAAGCCCCUCACCUGAGACUGUGGAAGAGCGUCAGACAGUUCCAAGAGCCUGAGAACCAGAGUUUGCUGUGAGAGUGUGACUCCUGGGAUUGUCAGAAGCUAUGCCACAAAGCUCAUCGACACACCUGCCUGUUGAGCUGGACAAGGACAGCAACAGCACACUCUCCAAAUGGAUGGGGGAAAUCCCAUGAGGCCUCAACUCUACAGAAAGAAUUCCAAGCAGUUUUCCUACAAGAUGCUGCCCUCCCUCCAAGCAAGAUGAUCAACAUCUCAGAUCUCAGAUGGGAGAGAGAUGGUUUGCGGGUAGUUAAAGGUUGAGGUGGUUUGGAUGAGGGGUCUUGAAAUGUUUUGGAUACACAGAGGAUGCAGUUCAGGGCCCAUUUCCUGAUCAGACUCUACUAUUGACCCUUUCAGGCCCUUAGUUCAAUUCCCUGGCUUUUCUUUUGGUUCCUUAUCAAUCUAACAGUAAUGUUCAUCUUACACUUGAUAAUUUCAAGCUCAAUGAUUAAUUUUUUUAAAACUCCACAUUGAGAUGACAGCAUUGAGCUCCCACCUCUGGCAGUGGGUCUUGUGCAUUCAGCAGACACUGAGUUGGUCUGCUCUGUCCCAUAAAGUUCACGUUUACGAAACUGGACAAAUAUACCUAAAGCAAAGACUGGCUUAUGUUGAGGUUUACCUCCCUGAGUUUCUUCCUUCACUAAAUUUCCAGCUUGAAUAUUUUUUCAUUGAUAGUUAAGACAUUUUAAAUUCAACUUUUGUUGUUUCUCAGUUGGAAAGACAUUGAGAAUGUAACCCAUCAUAUCACACAACCAGUUUCAUGAUAACUGUAUUUUUAACUUUAUGUUCUUGGAAUUCUUGGUUUAAUUCUAUAGCUUCCUUGACUUUUUCUUGUGUUUUCUACCUCUUUAUUGUUUUUGUAUUCUUAUAGAGUUCCUGUUUUAUUAUAUCUACUCAUCCAUGCUUAAACAUCAGCAGUCCUAAUUAUUUGAUUUCUACAAAUGCAAUGCAGUCCUUUCUGCCUGGUACACUGAUGUCUUAAGUUACUCUGCUGACUUUAGCUGAGUUUUGGGUGUUCCUUUCAAUUUCUGACCUAUCUGCUUCCUGGGUUCUCACUCCAUUGGCUUACAAUAUACUUUCCUGGGCUUUGUGUUUUGUUGGUUGCAUGGUUCCCCUUUUGGUUUGCCUGUUUUGUUCAUAAACACUUGUAAAG